rnacentral:lncRNA from 1 species
AUUUAAAAAUAUCUAACAACACUUAAUUAAAUUACAGGAAUUGUUUGUUUAUAUAACGAAAAGACUGAUUUUUAAACGAAUGGUACUGUUACAAAGCACUUAUUUAUGAUCUUUUUCGUCUUAACUUUAAUUGAAGCUAUUUUUCAGGAUCUGUCUAAAUGUGUUAAUUGAAUUUAUUUAUUAUUAAACGUUUGGUUUAAAAAAUUGCGACAAGUUUCUCACAAAAGCUCAUGGGUUGUUGCAGCCACGCCAGUUAAAUUACAAUUAAGUAAAGUGUAGAGUGUGUUAUUUGUUUUUAAUAUAAAUCGCGAAUACGUAACAACCCUUUGAGCGUAUUAGAAGGCAUAUCACAUUUCUUUUAAUUACUGGGUACCACUGUAGUUAAUUUUAAGGAAGUUUAAAAUAGGCUACAAUUUACAUUCUAUUAACAGUAGUUGCAAUAAAAAUAAAACUUAUUUUCUUUAACUUGAACAGCAAAUAUAAAAUAGUAAGUUAAUUUACAAAAAAAUCUUUUUUUAAAUCUAUAUUAAACGGUUGUUUUUUAUCCAUAUUACUGAUACACCUUUAAGCUGGAAUCUGCAAAAGUUUCAGAUUAUUAGCUCUUGGUUAAUUGGUAGUAUGCAUAAAGUCGAGGGCACAAAAUAGUCUCACAUUUGUUAAGUACUCAUUACAUUUGAAAUGCAUACAAAUAUAAGUAGAAUUUACUACUUAUAUUUUUGAAAAUAGGAACUCAUUUGAGAGGAUACUAUCAAAUAUGCGUACAAAAAUUUGAGUGGAGGGAGUAGAUUCUCAAAGUAAUAGAAUAAAGUCCCUUAGUAUACAUUUUAAAUUGAGUGGUUGCUUUAAAAAUAUUAGACUAUAUUAAGCACUCAACUAUAUGCACAUCACCCUUUAUCAUAGGAAAUAUUCUUUUUUUUUUUUUAUUGCAUACUACUGUAGGUUUGUUCCGUGCAUUUUAAAUUAAUAAAUGCAUCACGUACUUCGCGUAAGCCCUUCGUUUAUUGGGCAAUUGUACAAAUAAACUUUCCAUACUGAAUACCACUACAAAAGAAAUAUUGGCGUCCAGAAUGAUGAUAAUAGCUUAAGUAACAAACAGCAUUAGACUUGUUUUUUGUUUUUUUUAAUUUUUAUUUGUUACACUAGUAGUUGCAGUUAAAAAUAUGACCUAAAACACGUUCUAGAAUAAUUAAUUGUGAAAAUGUAAACGUAAAACACUGUAAGUUAAUGAUAGUUUGAUGAGUCGGUUUGUGUAUUAGGUAUAUUGAAAGAGCUGCAACAUGUAAUGCCUUUUGUGCUUUGCAAAAAUAUGCUAUAAAACAAUUUUGUAAAAAGUAGCAAUUUUAUAUUAAUAUAAUUAUUACCAUAUUUGGUGUAUUUUAUUGAAUCUUAGUUUCUAAACUUAUUGUACAAAGCAAAGCACAGUUACUUUUUUAACAUUAAAAAAUUAUAUUUUAAAGCUACAAGUCAAUAAAUAAUCAAAUACCUUCCUUCAUUUUUUAAAUGUUCCUCAAACAAUUCAAGCGAAAUUCUUGGCCAGCAGGUAAGUUAAAUAAUAAUUUUAAUUCUACAUCGUAAUUCCCACAUUUUGCAGGAUUUAGCAAGCAUGUUAAUUAAGAAGAAUCGAGUGUUUGGGAGUGAUUGGUGGAGAAAAUUGCACGUUUAAUAUCUAGAACGAUUCGAUAAAACUAAGGCUGUUUAUCAAAUUGUAAAUUAAGUAUAAGAAAUUUAGUUUUUUUUACGAAACGAAAUUUGUAUCAAUCAUUUCUACAUAAAAGAAAUAAAAAUCUGUUUGGUAACUAGUACGGUUAACAUGAAUCGAUAAUAACGGGAUUAAGUGCAGUUUUAAUAGAAUUAUUCCAGUGUAUUUAGAUAGAAUAUUUCUUUAUUAGAACGUUAUGUUUUAUAUUUAUUACAUGGUGCAUUGAACAAUAAGUUUUUAAUUACAUCGUCUUCUGAAUUGAACAUUUUGUUCGUAUUUUAAAGCAAUUUUUGAAUAUUUUACGGCCAAUUUUGCUUUCUAGAUAAGGUAUUUCGGUGUAUUUUAAUUAGUUUUCCUUCAUUUUUUAAAAUGUUCAACCGAAUUCCUUCGCCUACAGGACUUAUAAGGAUACUAACUAGGAAGAAUUAUGCGCAGGAAGUAGUAAUUAGUGGAAAAAUUUACAAGUUUGAAAUCUACGACUUGAUAAAAUUAAAGGUAUUUGUAAAAAAUUGCUCAAUUGAGUAUAAGUUAGUUAUUCUUGUUUAUGGUGGAUAAAAAAAACAAAAAUAUAUUUUUUGGCAAUUUAUUUAACCAUGUACUUAUUUUUUAUCACAGACUCUUCCUUUAAAGUACAAUCGUUAAGACUAUUGAGCUACAAUGGUUUUAACAGCCUGUUCUUGUUUAUGAUUACAAAACGAAAUGAGUAAAUUUAUUAACAUAAUAUUGACGCUAUAUAUAGAUCGUUUCUAAACAAAACAAACGGACACUUUAUAACGCAACAUAAAAAUCUAUUUAGUAACUAAUACGAUUAACAUAAUUUGAUACUAGUAGAACAUAGUAUAUUUUUUAUAUAAUUAUUCAAGAAACGGCAUUAUUAAGUGUACAUAUGUUAUCGAUAUAUUAAAUGAUCAGACGAAAGAAUAUUUUUUUACCAAAAUGUUCACUAGUGUAUAAAAAUAUAGUUUUUCUCUGAAUCUCAAAUUAAUUAGUUAUCGUGCUUUAAAAGCACAUUAAUCUGACCAUCAAUAUUUUAUGGACAUCAUGUACACAAAUUUAACAAAUAAUAUUGCAUUUCAUAUGUUUCGAACUAAAAACGCUGAAGUAAAACACUAACUUGGAAAUUUUAGCAGACUAAACAGAUUAAACUAGUUAUAAAAUUCAACACUUAUCGAACAAGAACAUAUUGCUUCUAAAAUAAUAAAAAUCCAACUUAAUUGAUAAUUCUUAAACCAACAAAUAUGAAAAAAUAACAUCACAUUUUUGCACUCUUAUACUGUACUUUUUUCAAUAACGUUUUUUAUGCAAUCCUUAGGGAAAAAAAAUUAAAAAAAAAGUGAUUUAAUGUUACAUAGUUAGAAUUUGUACUUUUUAAAUAAAAUAUUGGAAAAGAAUCCUGAGAAUCCAAUCUGCGUAAAAAAAAUAUUUUAAAAAUAUUACAAUUAGUAAAAAACGUAAUGUAAAUAAACCCAGAGAACACUUACAAAAUAUUUACAUAAAAUCCCUAAAAGAUUAACGGAGUAAUUACUGACUAGUAUGUUAAAUAUUAUACACUCUUUUUGAACCUAAUUUCUGAGUUCAUAAUAAACCACUCCAGA